AGUGGCAGACGGGUGAGUAAUGUAUAGGAAUCUACCUAGUAGUACGGAAUAAUUGUUGGAAACGGCAACUAAUACCGUAUACGCCCUACGGGGGAAAAAUUUAUUGCUAUUAGAUUAGCCUAUAUUAGAUUAGUUAGUUGGUGAGGUAAAGGCUUACCAAGACAAUGAUCUAUAGCUGAUCUGAGAGGAUGAUCAGCCACACUGGAACUGAGAUACGGUCCAGACUCCUACGGGAGGCAGCAGUGGGGAAUAUUGGACAAUGGGCGGAAGCCUGAUCCAGCCAUGCCGCAUGAGUGAAGAAGGCCUUCGGGUUGUAAAGCUCUUUUAGUGAGGAAGAUAAUGACGGUACUCACAGAAGAAGUCCUGGCUAACUCCGUGCCAGCAGCCGCGGUAAUACGGAGAGGGCUAGCGUUAUUCGGAAUCAUUGGGCGUAAAGGGCGCGUAGGCGGGUUAGUAAGUUAAAAGUGAAAUCCCAAGGCUCAACCUUGGAACUGCUUUUAAAACUGCUAGUCUAGAGAUUGAAAGAGGAUAGAGGAAUUCCUAGUGUAGAGAUGAAAUUCGUAAAUAUUAGGAGGAACACCAGUGGCGAAGGCGUCUAUCUGGUUCAAAUCUGACGCUGAGGCGCGAAGGCGUGGGGAGCAAACAGGAUUAGAUACCCUGGUAGUCCACGCUGUAAACGAUGAAUGUUAAAUAUGGGAAGUUUACUUUCUGUAUUAUAGCUAACGCGUUAAACAUUCCGCCUGGGGGACUACGGUCGCAAGAUUAAAACUCAAAGGAAUUGACGGGGNNCCGCA
rnacentral:rRNA from 1 species